CGAUAAUCAGUUUCGGCGGAAUGUUAGAUCAGGUGCCGGAAAACGUAAGAAGCCAAGUAAAUGAGAAAUCCACAGCACUACAUCAACUUGAUUACUUACGUACAAAGAUAGUGCAGAAUUGAACCUUAAGAACGAUUAUGUUUUGUAGAUGAGGAUAAUGUCGACUCGGAUGGUCCAGACAACCUUGAAUCACCCGCAGAAUUAAAGCGUUUAGGAAAAUCCUCUGAAAAUAACAUGGUUUAUAUUGAACUAGGUAAAUUUUACAGUAAAUUUUUAUAUGAAUUGGCGCAAAGAAAAAGUGUUUCCAUGUACUCGAGAUUUCUACUCAACUGCUAUUACAAUCAAUCUCGGAGCACGUUAAGCAGCGACUUAUAGACCAUUUAGAGUAACUAGCUAGUUUUAAGAUAUGCUUGCAAGCUCUUCUAUCUUAAUAAUUGCGCCUACACUAAAAUUUCUGUUAUCGUGUAUUUUAUUAUGUUUAUUAAUUUGUUGGUUUGAUGACUAUGUCUGUACAGUUUUUAUAGCUCUAAUCUAUUGUGUUAUAUGUACUGUUUUUUAUUGGAGUUACCUGCGCGCGCGACACAAAAACAUGUAAGUGCAUAGGGCAAUUCGCGUCGAAAGCACAAUACUUUUUUGUUCCUUUUCAAAUAAAUAAUCAGGUUGGAGUUUGAUUGCACGUUGGUGUACACAGAACGUUCAACUACCACCGCACAGGUUCGAAAGUAAAUUGUUUGUUGUUCUUCGUGUCGCGCCGGCUUGUCACCUAACCAUAACAGGAAUCAACGACUUUGUAAAAUUAAUUUAUCAAAAACUGGUUAUAGAGUUGCCUCCGACAUAGACGUAUUCAGAGAAUAGUUAUUUACUAUAUAGAAAUAAUUGACUCCCCGAGUCAUUUCAUCGGUUGUAAAGUAACAAUCCAAA